rnacentral:rRNA from 1 species
GGGUCGUCUAAAGGCGCAGGAUGACAGAUAGGCAAAUCCGUCUGUCGUUAAAUCCGAGGCCUGAUGGUGACACCGAAUGGUGGAAGUAGAGUGAUCCUAGGCUGCCUAGAAAAGCUUCGACGCGAGAUAUUAGCCGCCCGUACCCCAAACCGACACAGGUGGUCAGGUAGAGAAUACUAAGGCGAUCGAGAGAAUCGUGGUUAAGGAACUCGGCAAAAUGCCCCCGUAACUUCGGGAGAAGGGGGGCCUGAAUCUUGAAGCCUUUUACAGGCUAGGGAGACAGGCCGCAGAGACCAGAGAGAAGCGACUGUUUACUAAAAACACAGGUCCGUGCUAACACGUAAGUGGAUGUAUACGGACUGACGCCUGCCCGGUGCUGGAAGGUUAAGAGGACUGGUCAAUCAACCUUGUGUUGGUGAAGCUAGAAAUUUAAGCCCCAGUAAACGGCGGUGGUAACUAUAACCAUCCUAAGGUAGCGAAAUUCCUUGUCGGGUAAGUUCCGACCUGCACGAAUGGCGUAACGACUUCUCUACUGUCUCAACCACGAACUCGGCGAAAUUGCAAUACGAGUAAAGAUGCUCGUUACGUGCAGCAGGACGGAAAGACCCCGGGACCUUUACUAUAGCUUGAUAUUGGUGCUCGCUACGGUUUGUGUAGGAUAGGUGGGAGACUGUGAAGCCGGUACGCCAGUACUGGUGGAGUCAACGUUGAAAUACCACUCUGAUCGUAGUGCGCAUCUAACCUCGGUCCGUAAUCCGGAUCAGGGACAGUGCCUGGUGGGUAGUUUAACUGGGGCGGUUGCCUCCUAAAGAGUAACGGAGGCGCUCAAAGGUUCCCUCAAUCUGGUUGGCAAUCAGAUGGCGAGUGUAAGUGCACAAGGGAGCUUGACUGCGAGACUGACAGGUCGAGCAGGGACGAAAGUCGGAACUAGUGAUCCGGCACCACCGAGUGGAAGGGGUGUCGCUCAACGGAUAAAAGGUACCCCGGGGAUAACAGGCUGAUCUUGCCCAAGAGUCCAUAUCGACGGCAUGGUUUGGCACCUCGAUGUCGGCUCGUCGCAUCCUGGGGCUGGAGUAGGUCCCAAGGGUUGGGCUGUUCGCCCAUUAAAGCGGUACGCGAGCUGGGUUUAGAACGUCGUGAGACAGUUCGGUCCCUAUCCGCUGCGCGCGUAGGAAGUUUGAGAAGGGCUAUCCCUAGUACGAGAGGACCGGGAUGGACGAACCUCUGGCAUGCCAGUUGUCCUGCCAAGGGCACGGCUGGUUAGCUACGUUCGGAAUGGAUAACCGCUGAAAGCAUCUAAGCGGGAAGCCAGCUUCAAGAUGAGACUUCCAGUCACGUAAGUGGCGAAGGCCCCCUAGAGAACAUGGGGUUGAUAGGCCGGAAGUGGAAGCACGGUAACGUGUGGAGCUGACCGGUACUAAUGGCCGACAACAUAUACAA